AUACGUAGGGAGCGAGCGUUGUCCGGAAUUACUGGGUGUAAAGGGUGCGUAGGCGGGUCAGCAAGUCAGGCGUGAAAUACCGGGGCUCAACUCCGGGGCUGCGCUUGAAACUGUUGGUCUUGAGUGAAGUAGAGGCAGGCGGAAUUCCUAGUGUAGCGGUGAAAUGCGUAGAUAUUAGGAGGAACACCAGUGGCGAAGGCGGCCUGCUGGGCUUUAACUGACGCUGAUGCACGAAAGCAUGGGGAGCAAACAGGAUUAGAUACCCUGGUAGUCCAUGCCGUAAACGAUGAUAGCUAGGUGUGGGGGGUUAUAUGCCAUCCGUGCCGGAGUUAACACAAUAAGCUAUCCACCUGGGGAGUACGGCCGCAAGGCUAAA
rnacentral:rRNA from 1 species